AUUGAACGCUGGCGGCAGGCCUAACACAUGCAAGUCGAACGAGUGGCGGACGGGUGAGUAAUGUCUGGGAAACUGCCCGAUGGAGGGGGAUAACUACUGGAAACGGUAGCUAAUACCGCAUACUCUCGGAUGUGCCCAUAUGGGAUUAGCUAGUAGGUGGGGUAAAGGCUCACCUAGGCGACGAUCCCUAGCUGGUCUGAGAGGAUGAACCGCCACACUGGGACUGAGACACGGUCCAGACUCCUACGGUAGGCAGCAGUGGGGAAUAUUGCGCAAUGGGCGCAACCCUGACGCAGCCAUGCCGCGUGAAUGAAGAAGGCCUUCGGGUUGUAAAGUACUUUCGGCGGGGAGGCGUUACCCACAGAAGAAGCACCGGCUAACUCCGUGCCAGCAGCCGCGGUAAUAC
rnacentral:rRNA from 1 species